rnacentral:rRNA from 1 species
GGACUACUAGGGUAUCUAAUCCUGUUUGCUCCCCACGCUUUCGUGUCUCAGCGUCAGUACUCGUCCAGUUGGCCGCCUUCGCCACCGGUGUUCCUCUCGAUAUCUACGAAUUUCACCUCUACACCGAGAAUUCCACCAACCUCUCCGGUACUCUAGCCUCGCAGUAUCGAGUGCACUUCCAGGGUUGAGCCCUGGGCUUUCACAGCCGACUUACAAAACCGCCUACACACGCUUUACGCCCAGUAAUUCCGAACAACGUUUGCACCCUCUGUCUUACCGCGGCGGCUGGCAC